AUGAUCCCUGACGUGACGCUGGGGCUGGGCGGCGGCGCUGCGGUCACGCUGAAGGCGGAGAACACGUUCUUGGAGGUGCAGGAGGGGACUUUAUGCUUGGCGGUGUCUGACCAGUUUUCUCCUAUGUCCAUCAUCGGGAACAUCGCGCAGCAGAACAUGCACGUUGGGUACGAUCUCGACAAGGGCACCGUCACCUUCGCUCCAGCAGACUGCGCGCGUUCCUACCCCGCCCCCUCACCCUCCGGUUCUGUGUAG
rnacentral:rRNA from 1 species